ensembl:lncRNA
AACCAUGCAAUCAUGGGCACAGAAGAAGUUUCACUUGAUUACCCCACCAUCCAGCCCAGUGAGCUACCUCCAGACUCCCUCUCCACCCUGGUCUGGGCCCCGGGACACUGCCCUGUCCGAACGAUAUCACUCAAGGUCCAUCCCGUGGAAAUGCCGACAAGAGAUGGGAGUGCGGAAGAGAGUGGAGCAAGGCUGACUCCCAACUCUGACCCCAGCUGCUCUGGUCCUGAAAGCCUCGGCUCCUGUCCUGGCCUUCAUCUACACUGACAGCUGCUUCUAGGUCCUGGAGCAUCCUCUCCCCUUCUCGUUCAGGUCCGGGAUGGUAAAGGCUCUCCAAUGCUGUCCCAAAGUGCUUCCCUGUCCCUUGCUGAUUUUCCCUUAACCAUCCCUGAACUGCUAUAACUAGUCCACUUAUUGACUGAUUGAUUUUUCCAUUUGCGGGCACCAUCUGCUUCCUUCCAUCUGCUUUCUUCAGAGACCCUGACCAAUGGCCCAGGCUCCUCUUUGGGUUCACAGCAUUUGCCAGCAUUAGAAGCACAUCCUUCAAGACUCCCCAUUUCCAAGAAUCCUCGCCAGAUUGUCCUUAAAAUACAUGUCUGGACUUACUUUCCACACACCAUUUAGCCUGUGUCAUCCUCUCCCUCUCACUCCGGACAGCAAUCCAUCCCCAAGACUCUGCCCACCAGCCCAGGGCAGGUGCGAGCUCUCCCUAAACCCCCUCUGUGCUUCCCUCAACAGCUAGCACAAGUCGUAUGCUCUCAGAAGAAGUUUGAGAGACCAAUAAACAUUCCCUCCCUUGCUCACACCCAGAGAACAUCACUUCAGCACUUUCGUUUGAAACACCAAUGGUUUUUCAUACUGACUUUUUCUCAGUCCAUGACUCUCAAGAGGGCCUGGCCUGGGGAUGUGCCUGCCAUGGUCUCUCCCCCACGGUCCACCAGGGAAUGCAGAGCAACACAGAAGACUGAGCCUCAGCUCCUUUCCAUCCAAAACUGUCCACGCCGUUAGCCUACAGCAGGAAUUUUCUGCACCGUGCCAGUCAGCGCCCAUUCUACCCACGAGGCUGUCAAAGGUCUUCCAAGGCAGUGUGACUAAUGGAAUGUUUGUGAUUGAAAAGUGAGGAAAGAGCUCUCAGCGAUCCGCUGUCCUUAAUUACAUGGAGCAAACACCUCCUCAAGGACAGCCACAGAAGCCUGUGUCCAUCUUUGCUCCCAGCCUUCCUUCCUGCCCAGUGCUCAGCACAGAGAAGGAAGAAGCCAAUAUCUGCUCAAAGAAUAAGCAAAAAGACCCCCAAGUCCACCUUCCUGGGACAGUGGGACUAUGCCUGACUCUGUAGCAUCAAUUUCUAAUUUAUACUCCUGGUCCCAGAUUCCUCUUAUAAACCUGUGUGCUGUGUUCAUUUUGAAAUACCAACGUGCUUCCGAAUUGUGGAUCAGCUCGGGAGAGGUCAUGCCUCCUAGCGGGCCUCCAGUCCAGUGUAGGGGAGCUUCAGGCCUGAAUGGACACUGACUUCUCAGGGGAGGCCCAAGGAGGUGGAGGCCAGAGGGCUGGAGGCCCAGAUCAUCAUACGGGGCACAGUGUCUGUUCCUGGUCCUUACCCUCCAUGAGCCACACCUUCCUCCCCUUCUGGCCUCCCUGCCUCCAGUCUGGCCCAGACAAUUUCCCUUCCUCAGAGAAGUCUUUGCCAAGCACUUCCAGGCCCCGCCUUGACUUCACAGAACGACCCUGGUAUUGGAGGCCUUCUCUGAUCUCAUCCCCCUCACCCAAACAGACAUGCUUCUGAAUGUUCCCUGGAUUGAAAUCUCCGUACAGAUUCAAGGACCUCUGCAGGCAGGCCUGUCUCUUGUCCAGCACAACCCUCAUCCACCCCCUGGGCCCAUACCCACUUCCACACACACACUUUCUC